rnacentral:rRNA from 1 species
UACGGGGGGAGCAAGCGUUGUUCGGAUUUACUGGGUGUAAAGGGCGCGUAGGCGGCCACUGCAAGUCGGUUGUGAAAUCUCCGGGCUUAACCCGGAAAGGUCAAUCGAUACUGCAGGGCUAGAGUGCAGAAGGGGCAACUGGAAUUCUCGGUGUAGCGGUGAAAUGCGUAGAUAUCGAGAGGAACACCUGCGGCGAAGGCGGGUUGCUGGGCUGACACUGACGCUGAAGCGCGAAAGCUAGGGGAGCGAACGGG